UUCCGUAGGUGAACCUGCGGAAGGAUCAUUGACGCGCGGAAGGCGACCGACACGCGAACCGUCACUUCUCCCGACCGCGGGCUCGCGGGCGCGGCCCUGCGGCCCCCCCCCCGGCUCCCGGCGCCUCGGCCGUCCUCCCUYGGGGAGGGACGGCCCGCCGGCGCGGGCGGGAGGGCCUGGGAGCGCGGCCGGACGAGCUCUGACACCCCGAGGGCGCGACGCGCGCCAAGCAGACGAACAGAGAGGGCGCGCCGUCGCCCGGCCGGCGCCGGGGACGCAGCGCGCGCCUCCGAGGGAAAGUACGACUCUCGGCAACGGAUAUCUCGGCUCUCGCAUCGAUGAAGAACGCAGCGAGAUGCGAUACGUGGUGUGAAUUGCAGAAUCCCGCGAACCAUCGAGUCUUUGAACGCGAGUUGCGCCCGAGGCCGCUCGGCCGAGGGCACGCCUGCCUGGGCGUCACGCCCCCCGAACGCUCCCCAGCGCCGCCGCGGGGACGCGGAGACUGGCCGUCCGUGCGCUGCCCCGGCUCGCGGUCGGCCCAAACGCGCGUAGCCGUGCGGCGCGGCGCGACGUGUGGUGGUCCGGAGGCGAGGCUCGUCCCCGAUCGUACGUCGCGACGCUCCCUCUCGCACGGGGCGCCGCCGCAGGGACCCUGCCCGCCCGCUCCGGCGGGCGCUCGGAACGCGACCCCAGGUCAGGCGGGAACACCCGCUGAGUUUAAGCAUAUCAAUAAGCGGAGGAGAAGAAA
rnacentral:sRNA from 1 species